rnacentral:rRNA from 1 species
UACGGAAGGCAGCAGUGGGGAAUAUUGCACAAUGGGCGCAAGCCUGAUGCAGCCAUGCCGCGUGUAUGAAAAGGCCUUCGGGUUGUAAAGUACUUUCAGUCGUGAGGAAGGUGUUAAGGUUAAUAACCUUAGCAAUUGACGUUAGCGACAGAAGAAGCACCGGCUAACUCCGUGCCAGCAGCCGCGGUAAUACGGAGGGUGCGAGCGUUAAUCGGAAUUACUGGGCGUAAAGGGCACGCAGGCGGUUAAUUAAGUUGGAUGUGAAAUCCCCCGGGCUUAACCUGGGAAUGGCAUUCAAGACUGGUUAGCUAGAGUCUUGUAGAGGGGGUAGAAUUCCAUGUGUAGCGGUGAAAUGCGUAGAGAUGUGGAGGAAUACCGGUGGCGAAAGGCGGCCCCUGGACAAAGACUGACGCUCAUGUGCGAAAAGCGUGGGGAGCAAAACAGGGAUUAGAUACC